rnacentral:rRNA from 1 species
AGAGUUUGAUCAUGGCUCAGAUUGAACGCUGGCGGCAGGCCUAACACAUGCAAGUCGGGCGGUAGCACAGAGAGCUUGCUCUCGGGUGACGAGCGGCGGACGGGUGAGUAAUGUCUGGGAAACUGCCUGAUGGAGGGGGAUAACUACUGGAAACGGUAGCUAAUACCGCAUAACGUCGCAAGACCAAAGAGGGGGACCUUCGGGCCUCUUGCCAUCAGAUGUGCCCAGAUGGGAUUAGCUAGUAGGUGGGGUAACGGCUCACCUAGGCGACGAUCCCUAGCUGGUCUGAGAGGAUGACCAGCCACACUGGAACUGAGACACGGUCCAGACUCCUACGGGAGGCAGCAGUGGGGAAUAUUGCACAAUGGGCGCAAGCCUGAUGCAGCCAUGCCGCGUGUAUGAAGAAGGCCUUCGGGUUGUAAAGUACUUUCAGCGGGGAGGAAGGUGUUGUGGUUAAUAACCACAGCAAUUGACGUUACCCGCAGAAGAAGCACCGGCUAACUCCGUGCCAGCAGCCGCGGUAAUACGGAGGGUGCAAGCGUUAAUCGGAAUUACUGGGCGUAAAGCGCACGCAGGCGGUCUGUCAAGUCGGAUGUGAAAUCCCCGGGCUCAACCUGGGAACUGCAUUCGAAACUGGCAGGCUAGAGUCUUGUAGAGGGGGGUAGAAUUCCAGGUGUAGCGGUGAAAUGCGUAGAGAUCUGGAGGAAUACCGGUGGCGAAGGCGGCCCCCUGGACAAAGACUGACGCUCAGGUGCGAAAGCGUGGGGAGCAAACAGGAUUAGAUACCCUAGUAGUCC